GAACCGUCCAAACGUUAUUCGGAAUUACUGGGCUUAAAGGGUGCGUAGGCGGCUUGGCAAGUUGGGUGUGAAAUCCCUCGGCUCAACCGAGGAACUGCGCUCAAAACUGCCAAGCUAGAGGAAGAUAGAGGUGAGCGGAACUAAUGGUGGAGCGGUGAAAUGCGUUGAUAUCAUUAGGAACACCUGUGGCGAAAGCGGCUCACUGGGUCUUUUCUGACGCUGAGGCACGAAAGCUGGGGUAGCGAACGGGGGAUUAGAUACCCCGGGUAGUCCUAGCUGUAAACGAUGAGCACUAGGUUGGAGGCUCCUCCAUAGGCUUCCGACCGAAGCGAAAGUGUUAAGUGCUCCGCCUGGGGAGUAUGGUCGCAAGGCUG
rnacentral:rRNA from 1 species